GAUGAACGCUAGCGGGAGGCCUAACACAUGCAAGCCGAGCGGUAUUGUUUCUUCGGAAAUGAGAGAGCGGCGUACGGGUGCGUAACACGUGUGCAACCUGCCUUUAUCUGGGGGAUAGCCUUUCGAAAGGAAGAUUAAUACUCCAUAAUAUAUUGAACGGCAUCGUUUAAUAUUGAGAGCUCCGGCGGAUAGAGAUGGGCACGCGCAAGAUUAGCUAGUUGGUGAGGUAACGGCUCACCAAGGCGAUGAUCUUUAGGGGGCCUGAGAGGGUGAUCCCCCACACUGGUACUGAGACACGGACCAGACUCCUACGGGAGGCAGCAGUGAGGAAUAUUGGUCAAUGGGUGCAAGCCUGAACCAGCCAUCCCGCGUGAAGGACGACUGCCCUAUGGGUUGUAAACUUCUUUUGUAUAGGGAUAAACCUACCCUCGAGAGGGUAGCUGAAGGUACUAUACGAAUAAGCACCGGCUAACUCCGUG
rnacentral:rRNA from 1 species